rnacentral:rRNA from 1 species
GAUGAACGCUGGCGGGAGGCCUAACACAUGCAAGCCGAACGGAAUUGUUUCGUCUUAAAUGAGAGAUCGACGGACGGAUGCGGAACACAUGUGCGACCUGCCUUUAUCUGGGGGAUAGACUUUCUAAAGGAACAUUAGUACUCCCUAAUAUAUUGAACCCGGUCGCUUUAAUAUUGAAAGCUCCGGCUGAUAGAGAUGGGAACGCCCCACAUUAUCUAGUUGGGGAGGUAACGGAUCGCCUUAGCGAUGAUCUUUAGGGGGCCUGAGAUGGUGAUCCCCCCCACUGGUACUGAAACGAGAACCAGACUCCAACCCUACGCAACGCUGAGGAAUAUUGUACUAUGGGUGGAAGCCUGAACCAAUCAUCCCGCGUGAAGGACGACUGCCCUAUGGGCUGUAAACUUCUUUUGUAUAGGGAUAAACCUACCCUCGUGAGGGUAACUGAAAGUACUAUACCAAUAAACUCCGGGUAACUCCGUGCCAGCAUCCGCAGUAAUACGAGAGGGUGCCAGCGUUAUCCGGAUUUAUUGGGUUUAAAGGGUCCGUAGGCGGACUUAUAAGUCAGUGGUGAAAGCCUGUCGCUGUCAGAUGAACUGCCAUUGAUACUGUAAGUCUUGAGUAUAUUUUAGGUAGCUGGAAUAAGUAGUGUAGCGGUGAAAUGCAUAGAUAUUACUUAGAACACCAAUUGCGAAGGCAGGUUACCAAGAUAUAACUGACGCUGAGGGACGAAAGCGUGGGGAGCGAACAGGAUUAGAUACCCUGGUAGUCCACGCCGUAAACGAUGCUAACUCGUUUUUGGGCUUUAGGGUUCAGAGACCAAGCGAAAGUGAUAAGUUAGCCACCUGGGGAGUACGCUCGCAAGAGUGAAACUCAAAGGAAUUGACGGGGGCCCGCACAAGCGGUGGAUUAUGUGGUUUAAUUCGAUGAUACGCGAGGAACCUUACCAAGACUUAAAUGGGAAUUGACAGCUUUAGAAAUAGAGCUUUCUUCGGACAAUUUUCAAGGUGCUGCAUGGUUGUCGUCAGCUCGUGCCGUGAGGUGUUAGGUUAAGUCCUGCAACGAGCGCAACCCCUGUCACUAGUUGCCAUCAUUCAGUUGGGGACUCUAGUGAGACUGCCUACGCAAGUAGAGAGGAAGGUGGGGAUGACGUCAAAUCAUCACGGCCCUUACGUCUUGCGCCACACACGUAAUACAAUGGCCGGUACAGAGGGCAGCUACACAGCGAUGUGAUGCAAAUCUCGAAAGCCGGUCUCAGUUCGGAUUGGAGUCUGCAACUCGACUCUAUGAAGCUGGAAUCGCUAGUAAUCGCGCAUCAGCCAUGGCGCGGUGAAUACGUUCCCGGGCCU